UUCAGUCUUUAUGCCUUGAAACUUAGGCGGGAAACACUCUUGAUACUGUGGAGCAACUUGUGGAAGAACAAGGCCUGGAUCCAUUGUCUUCAGAUAAUGAGAGGACCUUGCCGAUACUUGAAGCUGUACAGCCGUUUCCCUGGACAUGGUCAGAGCAGAGUACUUCAUGUACUUAACAGCUCUAGAUUUUAUGUUCA